rnacentral:rRNA from 1 species
AACGAACGCUGGCGGCAUGCCUAACACAUGCAAGUCGAACGAGCACUCCGGGUCUAGUGUCGCCCGGCUGCGUCACGCGAGGGAAUCUGCCCUUCGGUUGGGAAUCCUUGAGAGAAAUUUUAGCUAAUACCAUCUAAUGUCUUUGGCCCAAAGUUUUAUCGACGAGGGAUGAGCAUGCGUAGGAUUAGGUAGUUGGUGUGGUAAUGGCCUAUCAAGCCGACGUUACUUAGCUGGUCAGUGAGAAUGAUCCGCCACCCUUGGUCUGGGACACGGCCCAGACUCUUACGCGAGGCGGCAGUGGGGAAUAGUGCACAACGGGCGGAGGCAUGAUCCAGCUAUGCCGCGAGAGUGAUGAAGGCCGGAGAGAUGUAAAGCGCAAGUACCCGGGAUGGUAAUGACGGUACCGGGAGAAAAAGCCCCGGCUAACUCCGUG